rnacentral:rRNA from 1 species
AUUGAACGCUGGCGGCAUGCCUUACACAUGCAAGUCGAACGGCAGCACGGGGCAACCUGGUGGCGAGUGGCGAACGGGUGAGUAAUGCAUCGGAACGUACCUUUCAGUGGGGGAUAACGUAGCGAAAGUUACGCUAAUACCGCAUAUUCUGUGAGCAGGAAAGCAGGGGAUCGCAAGACCUUGCGCUGAUUGAGCGGCCGAUGUCAGAUUAGCUAGUUGGUGGGGUAAAGGCUCACCAAGGCGACGAUCUGUAGCGGGUCUGAGAGGAUGAUCCGCCACACUUGAACGGAGACACAGUGCAGACUCCUACGGGAGGCAGUAGUGGGGAAUUUUGGAGAGUGGGGGCAAACCUGAUCCAGCCAUGCCGCGUGAGUGAAGAAGGCCUUCGGGUUGUAAAGCUCUUUCGGCCGGGAAGAAAUCGCACGGGCUAAUACCCUGUGUGGAUGACGGUACCGGAAUAAGAAGCACCGGCUACCUACGUGCCAGCCGCCGCCGUAACAC